rnacentral:lncRNA from 1 species
CUUACUCUGCCAUUUUCCAGCUGUGUGGCUUUGGGCAAGUUAUUUAACCUCUCUGUGCCUCAACUUCUUCAUGUAAACUGGCAGUAAUAAUAAUACGAAUGCCACAGAGCUGUGGAUGAAAUGAGCCCAUUCCGGUCUGGCUUCUUUAACCAGGAAGAUGUGGGCUGAGAGCUGUGGAGUAGAUGUCUUCACCAGAUGAGUACACAGAGAAGUAGAGAAUGUGUAUCUGCAGAGUAGGAUGAAGCAGAGACAAGAUGCAGGACAAAGGACAGAACUCUAAGUCAUCCCUGUGCUCACCUGAGACAAAUGCAUGUCUGAUUGCUUCCACUGAUGUAAAAAUGCAGAUUUGCUGAGUUAGACGAAGACGAUGGCAGAGAGCAGUCUUCAUCCUGAGCCCCAUUCCUAGGUAAGUAGCUGAAUUGGGGUUUUGUUUUGGAAAUUCUCCUUAAUGGCUAAAGUUAAGAUUAACAACCAGCUGGUCUUAAUUUCUUCUUACCAUUAGAGCACUCAGUAAUCUAAUAUAAAUUAUAAAUCUAAUAUAUUAGAUUUAUUUUGGGUUUGACCAACUCUAUCUGACUUGAUCAAAUCCAAAGGAAAGUUCCAAAUUAUGGGGAAUAAGGCCUCUGAAUUGGCUACAUUCCUGCAGCUGAAAAUAAGGAAAGAAAAAAGGGAAAAAGUAAAAGCAGCCAGGCCGGGCAUGGUGGCUCAAACCUGUAA